AUUAUGCAAAACAACAAAACAAAACUAGGUCCUGGCCGGGUUCGAACCGGCGACCUUCUGCGUGUGAAGCAGACGUGAUAACCACUACACCACAGGACCGC
rnacentral:tRNA from 1 species